AGCAGCUCCGCCGGCAGCCGCGGGAGCACGGCGACGCCAGCGGCGGGAAGGGAAAAGGCGAGGCAUCAGCGUAUGAAGACCGCAAAGACAAUCCCGAGUACAGUUGUGAACGGCAUUGCUGCUAGGCUCCUCCUGCAGUUCAUCUGAAAUGAACCUCUCUUAUUGAUUUUUAUUGGCCUAGAGCCAGGAGUACUGCAUUCAGUUGACUUUCAGGGUAAAAAGAAAACAGUCCUGGUUGUUGUCAUCAUAAACAUAUGGACCAGUGUGAUGGUGAAAUGAGAUGAGGCUCCGCAAUGGAACUGUAGCCACUGCUUUAGCAUUUAUCACUUCCUUCCUUACUUUGUCUUGGUAUACUACAUGGCAAAAUGGGAAAGAAAAACUGAUUGCUUAUCAACGAGAAUUCCUUGCUUUGAAAGAACGUCUUC
rnacentral:sRNA from 1 species